rfam:Trichobilharzia regenti genome assembly, scaffold: TRE_scaffold0002179
AUCCAGCUGACGAAUCCCAAAUAGGACGAAAUGCGCAUCCUGGAU